rnacentral:lncRNA from 1 species
UGGCAUCUAAAAUACUCUCCAUUCAUGAGUUGCCAUGUGGUAGUCUUUGCACCUUAAAGCUCUCCAUUCAAGAUGUGACAAGUGGCAUCAAAAAGAGGAGAAGGCAAGUAGGAGGCACCUCUUUGCUCCAUGUGGUAGAAGACUAGUCACUUUAGGAAAAGGAAGGAAAAGGCUCCAUAUGAGUGUCCAUGUGGCGCAUAUGUGGAUGCCAUUUAGACUUCCCUUAAAGCUCUUCUAUUCUAAUCUAAAAAUUGGCUCAAAUAUAAGGCCCAAAAAGUCUAAUACAGAAUUUUAAAGAUUGAAUGAGA